GCGGGUGUAGUUCAGUGGUAGAAUGUUUCCUUCCCAAGGAAAAGAUCGCGAGUCCGAGUCUCGUCACCCGCUCCA
rnacentral:tRNA from 1 species